rnacentral:rRNA from 1 species
UACGUAGGGCGCAAGCGUUGUCCGGAAUUAUUGGGCGUAAAGAGCUCGUAGGCGGUCUGUCGCGUCGGUUGUGAAAACACAAGGCUCAACCUUGUGCCUGCAAUCGAUACGGGCAGACUAGAGUACUGCAGGGGAGACUGGAAUUCCUGGUGUAGCGGUGGAAUGCGCAGAUAUCAGGAGGAACACCGGUGGCGAAGGCGGGUCUCUGGGCAGUAACUGACGCUGAGGAGCGAAAGCGUGGGGAGCAAACAGG